UACGGAGGGAGCUAGCGUUGUUCGGAAUUACUGGGCGUAAAGCGCACGUAGGCGGUUACUCAAGUCAGGGGCGAAAGCCCGGGGCUCAACCCCGGAACUGCCUUUGAAACUAGGUAGCUAGAAUCUUGGAGAGGUCAGUGGAAUUCCGAGUGUAGAGGUGAAAUUCGUAGAUAUUCGGAAGAACACCAGUGGCGAAGGCGACUGACUGGACAAGUAUUGACGCUGAGGUGCGAAAGCGUGGGGAGCAAACAGG
rnacentral:rRNA from 1 species